rnacentral:rRNA from 1 species
GAGUGGAUCCUGAGUACGACGGAGCACGUGAAAUUCCGUCGGAAUCUGGGAGGACCAUCUCCUAAGGCUAAAUACUCUCUAGUGACCGAUAGUGAACCAGUACCGUGAGGGAAAGGUGAAAAGCACCCCGGAAGGGGAGUGAAAUAGAACCUGAAACCGUGUGCUUACAAGUAGUCAGAGCCCGUUAAUGGGUGAUGGCGUGCCUUUUGUAGAAUGAACCGGCGAGUUACGAUUUGAUGCAAGGUUAAGCAGUAAAUGUGGAGCCGUAGCGAAAGCGAGUCUGAAUAGGGCGUUUAGUAUUUGGUCGUAGACCCGAAACCAGGUGAUCUACCCUUGGUCAGGUUGAAGUUCAGGUAACACUGAAUGGAGGACCGAACCGACUUACGUUGAAAAGUGAGCGGAUGAACUGAGGGUAGCGGAGAAAUUCCAAUCGAACCUGGAGAUAGCUGGUUCUCUCCGAAAUAGCUUUAGGGCUAGCCUCAAGUGAUGAUUAUUGGAGGUAGAGCACUGUUUGGACGAGGGGCCCCUCUCGGGUUACCGAAUUCAGACAAACUCCGAAUGCCAAUUAAUUUAACUUGGGAGUCAGAACAUGGGUGAUAAGGUCCGUGUUCGAAAGGGAAACAGCCCAGACCACCAGCUAAGGUCCCAAAAUAUAUGUUAAGUGGAAAAGGAUGUGGCGUUGCCCAGACAACUAGGAUGUUGGCUUAGAAGCAGCCAUCAUUUAAAGAGUGCGUAAUAGCUCACUAGUCGAGUGACACUGCGCCGAAAAUGUACCGGGGCUAAACAUAUUACCGAAGCUGUGGAUUGUCCUUUGGACAAUGGUAGGAGAGCGUUCUAAGGGCGUUGAAGCAUGAUCGUAAGGACAUGUGGAGCGCUUAGAAGUGAGAAUGCCGGUGUGAGUAGCGAAAGACGGGUGAGAAUCCCGUCCACCGAUUGACUAAGGUUUCCAGAGGAAGGCUCGUCCGCUCUGGGUUAGUCGGGUCCUAAGCUGAGGCCGACAGGCGUAGGCGAUGGAUAACAGGUUGAUAUUCCUGUACCACCUAUA